AUAGAAAACAAGAUCAACGAUGUCACAUUUAAAACAUUUAUUAAAAAAUGUUGUCAGGCUCAAGAAACAUACACAUACAUGCACAAAAAUACAUCACGUCUGCAUGAAAUGACAAUACAUCAUUAUAUUCAGUACAGAACCUGUUGAACCUACUAGCUAAGCAGCCUUGCUCUAACCUCAGCGAUACAAGGACCUUCACUUUGCCAACAUCUUUGUUGUACACAGUGGUCUGAAUGAAAAUGUACAUCUUGUGUAGAAUAGUGUUAUAAGUGGUGCCAAAAACAAAGUGUGCCUUAAGAAGUUUGUUCACCAAAAAAUAGAAUUAUCGUUAAUUACUCCCUCUUAUGUCAUUCCAUUUCUAUAAGACUUUUGUUCAUUUUCGGAACACAAAUAAAGAUAUUUUUAAUGAAAUCUGACAGACUUUUAUCCUUUCAUUGACAGCCUAUACAACUAAAACUUUCAAGGCCCAGAAAGGUGUUAAAGACAUCAUUAAAUUAACCCGUGUGACUCUGGUGAUUUAACUU